rnacentral:rRNA from 1 species
GACGAACGCUGGCGGCGUGCUUAACACAUGCAAGUCGAACGGCAAGGCCCUGCUUUUGUUGGGUGCUCGAGUGGCGAACGGGUGAGUAACACGUGAGUAACCUGCCCUUGACUUUGUGAUAACUUCAGGAACCUGGGGCUAAUACCGGCUAGGAGCUCCUGAUGCCUGGUGGGGGUUGGAAAGUUUCGGCGGUGGGGGAUGGACUCGCGGCUUAUCAGCUGGUUGGUGGGGUAGCGGCUUACCGAGGCUUUGACGGGUAGCCGGCGUGAGCGGGGGACCGCGCACAUUGGUACUGAGGUAGGGCCCAGACUGCAAUGUGAGACAGUGGUGGGAAGUAUUGUACAAUGGGCGGAAGUCUGAUGCAGCGACGCCGCGGUCGUGAUGACGUCCUGCGGGUUGUAAACCGCAUUCGCCUGUUACGAAGCUUGAGUGACGGUAAUGGGUGAAGAAGCACCGGCUAACUACGUG